rnacentral:rRNA from 1 species
GACGAACGCUGGCGGCGUGCUUAACACAUGCAAGUCGAACGGUAAGGCCCUUCGGGGUACACGAGUGGCGAACGGGUGAGUAACACGUGGGUGAUCUGCCCUGCACUUCGGGAUAAGCCUGGGAAACUGGGUCUAAUACCGGAUAGGACCACUGCCUGCAUGGGUGGUGGUGGAAAACUUUUGCGGUGUGGGAUGGGCCCGCGGCCUAUCAGCUUGUUGGUGGGGUGAUGGCCUACCAAGGCGACGACGGGUAGCCGGCCUGAGAGGGUGACCGGCCACACUGGGACUGAGAUACGGCCCAGACUCCUACGGGAGGCAGCAGUGGGGAAUAUUGCACAAUGGGCGCAAGCCUGAUGCAGCGACGCCGCGUGAGGGAUGACGGCCUUCGGGUUGUAAACCUCUUUCAGCACCGACGAAGCGCAAGUGACGGUAGGUGCAGAAGAAGGACCGGCCAACUACGUGCCAGCCGCCGCGGUAA